UACGUAGGUUGCAAGCGUUGUCCGGAAUUAUUGGGCGUAAAGAGCUCGUAGGCGGUUUGUUGCGUCGGCUGUGAAAUCCCGAGGCUCAACCUCGGGUCUGCAGUCGAUACGAGCAAACUAGAGUGUUGCAGGGGAGACUGGAAUUCCUGGUGUAGCGGUGAAAUGCGCAGAUAUCAGGAGGAACACCGGUGGCGAAGGCGGGUCUCUGGGCAACAACUGACGCUGAGACGCGAAAGCGUGGGGAGCGAACAGG
rnacentral:rRNA from 1 species